rnacentral:ncRNA from 1 species
AAAAUUUUUAUAAUAAUUAUUAAUAAAUAUAUUUUUUAUACUAUGUUUAUUUUAUGGUUAAAUUUAAAAAAGUUUUAUUUUAACUUAUAAAUUAGGUAAUAUUUUUAAUUAUAUGUAAAUUUUAUUUUAGAAGAGAUAUACAGUAAUUUAAUUUAAUUAUUAAAGUAAUUUAGAAUUAGAAAAAAUAUUUAAUAUUAACUUAAUUUGUGCCAGCAGUUGCGGUUAUACAAAUAAUAUAAUUUAAUUAUAUUAAUAAAAAUUAAUUGAUUAUAAUUAAUUUAUAUAAAAAAUUUUUAAGUGAAAUUUUAAUUUUUUAUAAAAUAAUAAUUAUUAAAUGAAGUUUAGAAGUUUAAAUAAUAAACUAGGAUUAGAUACCCUAUUAUUUUAAGUGUAAUAAAUUUAAAAUUAAAUUAGUAUUAGUUAUGAUCUUUAAAAUUAAAAAUUUUGGCAGUAUUUUAGUCUUUUCAGAGGAACUUGUUUAGUAAAUGAUAAUCCACGAUUUAAUUUACUUUUAUUUUAAAUUUACAUAUCGUCGUAAUAAAAUAUUUUAUUAAAAUUUUAAUAUUUAAAAUUUUUAAUUAAAAAAUUAAUCAGAUCAAGGUGUAGUUUAUAUAAAAGUUCAAAUGAGUUACAUUAAAUUUAUUUUAGGAUUUAAAAAUUUAAUUUUUUAUUGAAUGUGGAUUUGAUUGUAAUUUUAAAUAAUUAUUUAAAAUGAUUUAAGCUCUAAAAUAUGUACAUAUUGCCCGUCGCUUUCAUUUGAUAUGAAAUAAGUCGUAACAAAGUAGAUUUACUGGAAAGUAAAUCUAGAUUAU